rnacentral:rRNA from 1 species
UAUGCGGAAGAUUUUUACUAGUGCUAAUGCAUGGAUCCCAUCAGAACUCCUCCGUAGUUAAGCGUGCUUGAACGAGAGUAGCAUUAAGAUAUGUGAUUUUUUAGGAAGUCUUCGUGUCACCAUUU